rnacentral:rRNA from 1 species
GAUGAACGCUGGCGGCGUGCCUAAUACAUGCAAGUCGAGCGAACAGAUGAGGAGCUUGCUCCUCUGACGUUAGCGGCGGACGGGUGAGUAACACGUGGAUAACCUACCUAUAAGACUGGGAUAACUUCGGGAAACCGGAGCUAAUACCGGAUAAUAUAUUGAACCGCAUGGUUCAAUAGUGAAAGACGGUUUUGCUGUCCCUUAUAGAUGGAUCCGCGCCGCAUUAGCUAGUUGGUAAGGUAACGGCUUACCAAGGCAACGAUGCGUAGCCGACCUGAGAGGGUGAUCGGCCACACUGGAACUGAGACACGGUCCAGACUCCUACGGGAGGCAGCAGUAGGGAAUCUUCCGCAAUGGGCGAAAGCUUGACGGAGCAACGCCGCGUGAGUGAUGAAGGUCUUCGGAUCGUAAAACUCUGUUAUUAGGGAAGAACAAAUGUGUAAGUAACUAUGCACGUCUUGACGGUACCUAAUCAGAAAGCCACGGCUAACUACGUG